UACGGAGGAUGCGAGCGUUAUCCGGAUUUAUUGGGUUUAAAGGGUGCGUAGGUGGUUAAUUAAGUCAGCGGUGAAAGUUUGUGGCUCAACCAUAAAAUUGCCGUUGAAACUGGUUGACUUGAGUAUAUUUGAGGUAGGCGGAAUGCGUGGUGUAGCGGUGAAAUGCAUAGAUAUCACGCAGAACUCCGAUUGCGAAGGCAGCUUACUAAACUAUAACUGACACUGAAGCACGAAAGCGUGGGGAUCAA
rnacentral:rRNA from 1 species